rnacentral:lncRNA from 1 species
UUUUAUAUAUUCCCGACAGAAAAAUUGACAUUUCAGUGCAUUUUGAGCUAUUUUGAAAGAAAAUAAAGCGAGUUUCCUUGCAACGAGAAAAAUCCGAUACCGCCGGCGAGCUGUGUUCAUUCAACUUACAACUUGCAAAUUUGAGUUGAUUUUUCCGUCACUUUACAUAUUUUAAUGCUUUUUUUAAUGCAACUUCCAUUGGUAACAGUGGGUCUUCUGGAGGAUACAAGCACUUGGGCUGUACCAGGAAUGAGGAGAAGAGGUUUCAUACUCGACUUGUAAGCGAUGGCCUUUCCAUUUCUUUCACGAGCAGAAAUAUUACCGAGUUCCAGUGACUUGGGCAUCAGAGCGGCAGUCCCCUGAUCGAUGAGCUGUUUGACUUAGUUGAGACAACAUGGAUUGCAAACCGUACUUAGCUUGUUUUUAUUUAUAAAACAAAAUUGUAAGGAAGUGCUGAAAGGACAAGUCCACUCUAACAAAAAAUUGAUUUGA